ACAUAAUCCAGUCUAUGGCUGUAUAUCCCUGAAUUGUGUCUGGUCUCAGAGGCUAAGCAGCAUUGGGCAUGGUGAGUACUUGGAUGGGAGACCACCUGGGAAUACUGGGCUUUGUA
rnacentral:rRNA from 1 species